GAGAAUUGAAGAAAUUUAAUUUGUAAUUAUGUAAGAUUUUAUGAAUUAUUGUUGAAAUUAAUUAUUAUGUAUGUUAAGAUUUAAUAAUUUAUUUUGGCCUUGCAUAUUCUUUAGGACUUGCUCUAAGGAGUGUGCGGCCAUCACGUAUCCGAUCCGAGUGUUGGGUUCGGGGCAUGACAACAUCAAACAGUAACUAACGAGCAAGGGGCAAAAAGCUAAGCUGACCUCAAAUACAGGCAUUAAAAGGAUAAAAAAUAGGGUAUGCACACU
rnacentral:lncRNA from 1 species